rnacentral:misc_RNA from 1 species
GAAAUGCGAUAAGUAAUGUGAAUUGCAGAAUUCCGUGAACCAUCGAGUUUUUGAACGCAAGUUGCGCCUGAGGCCUUUUGGUGUCGGGCACGUCUGCCUGGGCGUCAUGUCAAAAGACACUCCCCACCCUAUUACGGCGGUGUGGACGUGGUGUUUGGCCCCUCGUGCCGCAGGGCGCGGUGAGCCGAAGUUUGGGCUGCCCGGCGGUGCCGAGCACAGCACUUGGUGGAUGGCUCGUGUCAUUCUUCGUGCUAUGGUGCAGACCGCCAGCGGUGAUGAUGUAGCCCUAGGGACCCAUGGACCGAAGCUCAAGUCGCUCGAACCGCGACCCCAGGUCAGUCGGGAUUACCCGCUGAAUUUAA